rnacentral:lncRNA from 1 species
CUUGGAUCUCACAGGUACAAAGUGGCGGAGGAGGUGUUCAAACAGCUCCAUCUCGCCCCAGCCGCCGGCCUUGGACCCCUAAACUCUACAGGAGGAAAAACAUACUCCUGAAUUUGAAAAAACAACCUAUGAUUCACCCUGGAGUGACUCUGCGAGAGGGCCAGGCAAAGGUCCACUCCCCGACCCGUGCUGGGAGGGCAAGCCGAGAGCUGCCCAUGUCGCAGGAUGAGAUCCCAGCUCCUAUUCUGACUUAUCGAACAUAUCCAGCUCCUCGGGUUUCUCAGAGCUCUCCUGCCAACUGCAGCAACCACAGGCGGAUCCCGCCUUGAGCACAGCCCAGAUGUGGAAGCGCGAGCUGGUUACUCCCUCUCCAUGUGUCUGCCAAGCUGAUAUAUCCUCGCUUUCCACCCAGAGAGAGUGAGGGGGCUGAGAAAGACCUUGUGGGCCUACCUGCCCCUCCUUCCCCUGCCAGGUUUCUGUCACAUCCUAAAGGAGAUUUUCUGGGAAAGGGUUUUCCUGGCAGGGCCUGGGUGGAGCAGCCUGGUACAGCCCUCCGUGUCUGGCUCCCAGUGAGACUUUCCAGGGGGCCUGUGCUAGCCUCCCCUUCCUUCAGGUCCUGUAACGGACUCCCACAGAGUGCUCCUGCUUCAGAGGGUGGAGCCGAGGAGGCCCAGGACACCAGUGGAAAGGAGAUGAGCAGCCAUCUGAC